GAUUACGAUGCGACGCCGCGUGAGGGAUGAAGGCUUUCGGGUUGUAAACCGCUGUGUUAUGGGAAGAAUCGCUAGUUGGUGAUAAGCCAGUUAGCUUGACGGUACCAUAGUAGAAAGCCCCGGCUAACUCACGUGCCAGCAGCCGCGGUAAUACGUGGGGGGCUAGCGUUGUCCGGAAUUACUGGGCGUAAAGCGCGCGUAGGCGGCCAUAUCAGUCAUGUGUGAAAUUGCUUGGCUCAACCAAGCAACUGUGCUUGAUACUGUAUGGCUUGAGUACGGAAGAGGAAAGUGGAAUACACGGUGUAGCGGUGAAAUGCGUAGAUAUCGUAUAGAACACCAGUGGCGAAGGCGGCUUUCUAGUCUGAUACUGACGCUGAGGUGCGAAAAGUCUGGGGAGCAAACGGGAUUAGAUACCCCGGUAGUCCAGACCGUAAACGAUGGGUACUAAGUGUAGGGAAUGUUUAUAUUCUCUGUGCUGUAGCUAACGCAUUAAGUACCUCGCCCGGGGAGUACGGCCGCAAGGUUAAAACUCAAGGUAAUUGACGGGGGGCCGCACAAGCGGUGGAGCAUGUCGCUUAAUUCGAAGCAACGCGAAGAACCUUUAUCCAGGGCUUGACAUCUUAGUGACCGCCAUAGAAAUAUGGUUUUCCUUCGGGACACUAUGACAGGUGCUGCAUGGCUGUCGUCAGCUCGUGUCGUGAGACGUUGGGUUAAGUCCCGCGACGAGCGCGACCCUUGUCUUUAGUUGCCAUCAGGUAAUGCUGGGGACUCUAAAGAGACCGCUGGUGACGAGCCAAUC
rnacentral:rRNA from 1 species